UGGGGAAUAUUGCACAAUGGGCGCAAGCCUGAUGCAGCCAUGCCGCGUGUGUGAAGAAGGCCUUCGGGUUGUAAAGCACUUUCAGCGGGGAGGAAGGGAGUAAAGUUAAUACCUUUGCUCAUUGACGUUACCCGCAGAAGAAGCACCGGCUAACUCCGUGCCAGCAGCCGCGGUAAUACGGAGGGUGCAAGCGUUAAUCGGAAUUACUGGGCGUAAAGCGCACGCAGGCGGUUUGUUAAGUCAGAUGUGAAAUCCCCGGGCUCAACCUGGGAACUGCAUCUGAUACUGGCAAGCUUGAGUGUCGUAGAGGGGGGUAGAAUACCAGGUGUAGCGGUGAAAUGCGUAGAGAUCUGGAGGAAUACCGGUGGCGAAGGCGGCCCCCUGGACGAAGACUGACGCUCAGGUGCGAAAGCGUGGGGAGCAAACAGG
rnacentral:rRNA from 1 species